rnacentral:rRNA from 1 species
UACGUAGGCAGCAAACGUUGUUCGGAAUUACUGGGCGUAAAGAGUGUGUAGGCGGUCUUGUAGGUUCUGUGUGAAAUCUCCCGGCUUAACUGGGAGGGUGCGCCGAAUACUGCAAGGCUUGAGUACUGGAGAGGAUAGCGGAAUUCCUGGUGUAGCGGUGAAAUGCGUAGAUAUCAGGAGGAACACCGGCGGUGUAGACGGCUGUCUGGACAGUAACUGACGCUGAAACACGAAAGCGUGGGGAGCAAGCAGG